rnacentral:sRNA from 1 species
CGAACUCAUGAGGCUCCCCCGAGAAAAAGGCGGGUUUCCCGCCCGAGGGAGCCGAAGUUCGAAAGAUUUAAAAAGCCAUCCUAGUCAAACGAGACUAGA